rnacentral:rRNA from 1 species
UUUUGAUCCUGGCUCAGAACGAACGCUGGCGGCAAGCCUAACACAUGCAAGUCGAACGGACAAUUGCUUAUAACCUUUUGGUUAUAAAUAAUUGUUAGUGGCAGACGGGUGAGUAAUGCGUAGGAAUCUACCUAGUAGUAUGGAAUAGCCAUUAGAAAUGAUGGGUAAUACUGUAUAAUCCCUGCGGGGGAAAGAUUUAUCGCUAUUAGAUGAGCCUACGUUAGAUUAGCUAGUUGGUAAGGUAAUGGCUUACCAAGGCUAUGAUCUAUAGCUGGUCUGAGAGGACGAUCAGCCACACUGGAACUGAGAUACGGUCCAGACUCCUACGGGAGGCAGCAGUGGGGAAUAUUGGACAAUGGGCGAAAGCCUGAUCCAGCUAUGCCGCG